GACAGAGGGUGCAAGCGUUGUUCGGAAUCAUUGGGCGUAAAGGGCGCGUAGGCGGUUUUGUAAGUCGAAUGUGAAAGCCCAGGGCUCAACCUUGGAAGUGCAUCCGAUACUGCAUAACUAGAAUCUCGGAGAGGGUGGUGGAAUUCCCAGUGUAGAGGUGAAAUUCGUAGAUAUUGGGAGGAACACCGGUGGCGAAGGCGACCGCCUGGACGAAGAUUGACGCUGAGGCGCGAAAGCGUGGGGAGCAAACAGG
rnacentral:rRNA from 1 species